rnacentral:rRNA from 1 species
GGCCUACCAUGGUGGUAACGGGUAACGGGGUGUUAGGGCACGACACCGGAGAGGGAGCCUGAGAAACGGCUACCACAUCCAAGGAUGGCAGCAGGCGCGCAAAUUACCCAAUCCCGACACGGGGAGGUAGUGACAAUAAAUAACAAUACGGGGUUCUUUCGGAUCUCGUAAUUGGAAUGAGUACAAUUUAAAUCUCUUAACGAGGAACAAUUGGAGGGCAAGUCUGGUGCCAGCAGCCGCGGUAAUUCCAGCUCCAAUAGCGUAUAUUAAAGUUGCUGCAGUUAAAAAGCUCGUAGUUGAAUUUCGGGACCAAUAUGUCGGUCGUGCUUCGGUACGUACUGUCAUAAUUGGUUUCUCCCUUCUGAAGAACCUUGAUGUCAUUAAUUUGGUGUCUUGGGGAAUCAGGACUGUUACUUUGAAAAAAUUAGAGUGUUUAAAGCAGGCUCGCGCUUGAAUACAUUAGCAUGGAAUAAUGAAAUAGGACGUUUGAUUCUAUUUUGUUGGUUUCUAGGAUCGACGUAAUGAUUAAUAGGGAUAGUUGGGGGCAUUAGUAUUCAAUUGUCAGAGNUGAAAUUCUUGGAUUUAUUGAAGACUAACUACUGCGAAAGCAUUUGCCAAGGAUGUUUUCAUUAAUCAAGAACGAAAGUUAGGGGAUCGAAGACGAUCAGAUACCGUCGUAGUCUUAACCAUAAACUAUGCCGACUAGGGAUCGGAUGAUGUUAAUUUUUUAAUGACUCAUUCGGCGCCUUACG